AUCAACUUCAUAUUUGAAGUUUUUAAACUUAAAGUUGUCUCUCUGUGAUAUCAGGAUUUUUACAUUAUUUCUUUGUGCAAUGCGCAACCAUGCCAUCUAUGAUCAAUUGUAUACAAACACAAGGCGAAGUGAUGCAUUGGCGUAAUCGAAAACAACAAGAAGGUAAACAACUUUGAAAUUUUAACUGACCACACACCAACUGUGCCACUGGUCAUUUUUAUUAUGUAGGGUUUGAGGUUUACGGCGCAACUGAAGACAGCAAUCUUUAUAUGUAUUAUAUUUACUGAGGGAUUCUGUAGUGUUAUGGUCUGUUAAUUUUAGGUUAACUGUCAAUAAAUAUUGUCAUAUUGUAAUUGGUGCGUAAUCUACAUGUGGCACAGGAAAAACAAAAUUAAUCAUAAUUGAAUUUAAUAAACAGUUUCUACAGAAUGAUAUAUCUGUUAAGUCUCAGACAGUUUUGCAAGGUUUAGCUGUAACAGAACAGCUGAAGUUGACUGAAGG